GGAAGGAUCAUUCACUUUGACACAGGAACUUCUGUGUCGUUUAAUGGAGACUACAUGUACAGUCUUUUCGCCCUAUAAAUAAUGAUAAAUGUUACAGUUUUGACAGAGGAUACAUUGACUUCUGGAACGAUGAAGAACGUAGCAAAGUGCGAUAAGUAGUGCGAAUUGCAGAAUUCAGUGAAUCAUCAAAUUUUCGAACGCAGUAGGCAAUUAUUGGUUACUCCAAUGAUUGUGCAUUCUUGACUCUAACCCACAUGUGACUAGUGUCUCAUCUAUGAAGAGCUUCUGGAUAAUCUGGUAUAUCAAGUUCUGUAUAAAUUACUGUCUCAAGAUCAAGAUCAUGGAAACAUCUACAGUUACGAGUCAAGCAAGGCACGACAACCCCCUGGAUUUAAGCAUAUAACUAAGGGGAGGAAAAGAAACCAAAUCGGAUUUCCUGAGUAACUGCGAGUGAAUAGGGAAAAGUUCAAUCUUGUAAUCACAACGCUCUCUGAGUUGUGAGAUGUAGUGUAUGGAAAUUUGUUCAGAGUGUGGCACUGGUCUUCGUUCACUGAGAAGUGAUGCAGCGACAGGUGACAGCCCUAUCUUUGGCCUGAAGUCCGCCUCGUACGAACGGUUUUCUGAGAGUCGGACUGCUUGGGAGUGCAGUCUUAAUGGGAGCUAAAGUCCUUCCAAAACUAAAAAUGUCUGGAAGAUCGAUAGAACACAAGUACCAUGAGGGAAAUGUGAAAAGAACUUUGAAAAGAGAGUUAAAAGUAUUUGAAACUGUCAGAGACCAA
rnacentral:misc_RNA from 1 species